UACGUAGGUGGCAAGCGUUGUCCGGAUUUAUUGGGUUUAAAGGGUGCGUAGGCGGCCUAUUAAGUCAGUGCUGAAAUAUCCCGGCUUAACCGGGAGGGUGGCAUUGAUACUGAUGGGCUUGAGUAGAGUUGAGGUUGGCGGAAUUGACGGUGUAGCGGUGAAAUGCUUAGAUAUCGUCAAGAACACCUAUUGCGAAGGCAGCUAACUAAGCUCAAACUGACGCUGAGGCACGAAAGUGUGGGUAGCAAACAGG
rnacentral:rRNA from 1 species